rnacentral:rRNA from 1 species
UACGUAGGGGGCAAGCGUUGUCCGGAAUCAUUGGGCGUAAAGCGCGUGUAGGCGGUUCGGUAAGUCCGCUGUGAAAGUCGGGGGCUCAACCCUCGGAUGCCGGUGGAUACUGUCGGACUAGAGUACGGAAGAGGCGAGUGGAAUUCCUGGUGUAGCGGUGAAAUGCGCAGAUAUCAGGAAGAACACCCGUGGCGAAAGCGGCUCUCUGGAACGGUACUGACGCUGAGACGCGAAAGCGUGGGGAGCGAACAGG